rnacentral:rRNA from 1 species
GAUGAACGCUGUUUGGCGUGCCUAAUACAUGCAAGUCGAGCGAACGGACGAGAAGCUUGCUUCUCUGAUGUUAGCGGCGGACGGGUGAUUAACACGUGGAUAACCUACCUAUAAGACUGGGAUAACUUCGGGAAACCGGAGCUAAUACCGGAUAAUAUUUUGAACCGCAUGGUUCAAAAGUGAAAGACGGUCUUGCUGUCACUUAUAGAUGGAUCCGCGCUGCAUUAGCUAGUUGGUAAGGUAACGGCUUACCAAGGCAACGAUGCAUAGCCGACCUGAGAGGGUGAUCGGCCACACUGGAACUGAGACACGGUCCAGACUCCUACGGGAGGCAGCAGUAGGGAAUCUUCCGCAAUGGGCGAAAGCCUGACGGAGCAACGCCGCGUGAGUGAUGAAGGUCUUCGGAUCGUAAAACUCUGUUAUUAGGGAAGAACAUAUGUGUAAGUAACUGUGCACAUCUUGACGGUACCUAAUCAGAAAGCCACGGCUAACUACGUGCCAGCAGCCGCGGUAAUACGUAGGUGGCAAGCGUUAUCCGGAAUUAUUGGGCGUAAAGCGCGCGUAGGCGGUUUUUUAAGUCUGAUGUGAAAGCCCACGGCUCAACCGUGGAGGGUCAUUGGAAACUGGAAAACUUGAGUGCAGAAGAGGAAAGUGGAAUUCCAUGUGUAGCGGUGAAAUGCGCAGAGAUAUGGAGGAACACCAGUGGCGAAGGCGACUUUCUGGUCUGUAACUGACGCUGAUGUGCGAAAGCGUGGGGAUCAAACAGGAUUAGAUACCCUGGUAGUCCACGCCGUAAACGAUGAGUGCUAAGUGUUAGGGGGUUUCCGCCCCUUAGUGCUGCAGCUAACGCAUUAAGCACUCCGCCUGGGGAGUACGACCGCAAGGUUGAAACUCAAAGGAAUUGACGGGGACCCGCACAAGCGGUGGAGCAUGUGGUUUAAUUCGAAGCAACGCGAAGAACCUUACCAAAUCUUGACAUCCUUUGACAACUCUAGAGAUAGAGCCUUCCCCUUCGGGGGACAAAGUGACAGGUGGUGCGUGGUUGUCGUCAGCUCGUGUCGUGAGAUGUUGGGUUAAGUCCCGCAACGAGCGCAACCCUUAAGCUUAGUUGCCAUCAUUAAGUUGGGCACUCUAAGUUGACUGCCGGUGACAAACCGGAGGAAGGUGGGGAUGACGUCAAAUCAUCAUGCCCCUUAUGAUUUGGGCUACACACGUGCUACAAUGGACAAUACAAAGGGCAGCGAAACCGCGAGGUCAAGCAAAUCCCAUAAAGUUGUUCUCAGUUCGGAUUGUAGUCUGCAACUCGACUACAUGAAGCUGGAAUCGCUAGUAAUCGUAGAUCAGCAUGCUACGGUGAAUACGUUCCCGGGUCU